GGGCGCAAGCCUGAUGCAGCAACGCCGCGUGAGGGACGAAGGCCUUCGGGUUGUAAACCUCUUUUAGCAGGGAAGAAGCGAAAGUGACGGUACCUGCAGAAAAAGCACCGGCUAACUACGUGCCAGCAGCCGCGGUAAUACGUAGGGUGCAAGCGUUGUCCGGAAUUAUUGGGCGUAAAGAGCUCGUAGGCGGUUUGUCGCGUCUGCUGUGAAAACCCGAGGCUCAACCUCGGGCUUGCAGUGGGUACGGGCAGACUAGAGUGCGGUAGGGGAGAUUGGAAUUCCUGGUGUAGCGGUGGAAUGCGCAGAUAUCAGGAGGAACACCGAUGGCGAAGGCAGAUCUCUGGGCCGUAACUGACGCUGAGGAGCGAAAGCAUGGGGAGCAAACAGGCUUAGAUACCCUGGUAGUCCAUGCCGUAAACGUUGGGAACUAGAUGUGGGGACCAUUCCACGGUCUCCGUGUCGUAGCUAACGCAUUAAGUUCCCCGCCUGGGGAGUACGGCCG
rnacentral:rRNA from 1 species